UACGUAGGGUGCGAGCGUUGUCCGGAAUUAUUGGGCGUAAAGGGCUCGUAGGCGGUCUGUCGCGUCGGGAGUGAAAACUUACAGCUUAACUGUGAACUUGCUUUCGAUACGGGCAGACUUGAGGCAUUCAGGGGAGAACGGAAUUCCUGGUGUAGCGGUGAAAUGCGCAGAUAUCAGGAGGAACACCGGUGGCGAAGGCGGUUCUCUGGGACGGUACUGACGCUGAGACGCGAAAGCGUGGGGAGCGAACAGG
rnacentral:rRNA from 1 species